rnacentral:lncRNA from 1 species
UUAGUCGUCGACAAAGCAGCUCUUGCAUUGUUAUAGGCAAACACCGCAAUCCAUUAGUCACUAACAGGAUUUAGUCAAACAAAGCCCGUACAAGCAGACCCAGAGAUCUAAGACAUGAGAGAUGCAUAUAACUUCAACUACCCAGCCCAAAAGCCAAGCCCUAAUCCUUGCUGAAACCCUAGAAAGAGGAGAUAUCGAAACCAGCGCGACCAUCCCAAGCACCACAAGCUGGAUCGACGCCAUCUUCCGAACUUCAUCUGGAGUCGAGCAAAACUGAAACCCAGCAAAUCAAAUUCUAAAA